GAAAAAAUUAGAAAGGAAGAUGUAAGAUGAGUGAGAAAGCAGCUGCCUAUGCACCAGCACUAUUCAGUUUGGGGUGCAGGAAGAUCAAAGGAGCUGUAGAAACAGUCUAGAAAUGUGUUCUCUCCAUCAAAGAAUAAUUCUUGCAUAUUGACCUAUGAUCCUCCCAUUGAUGAGAUGCAAUCAAUUACCUUCGUAACAGACGUCAUCCUCCUGCAUUCAAACAGGGGAAGAAACUGAGGCAGGAGGAUGAGCUGUCCUCCUGCUCAUGCCUGUACAUGGGGUAUGUCUUCAUCUGUUUUGACAUGCGAAUCUGGAAUUUGGUUGCUUAGAACAUCCCACAACAACUUGAUUCUGCACCAAGAACUGUGAAGUAACAAUGUUGUAAAGGCUUUUCUCCCCUCUCUGACAAGAUGAGGAUGAGCAAACAUUGUGAUCAAGCUCAGUCAGCGCCUUUUCCCUCCAAGGCUGAAUGAAUAUAAGCAUGUUCAACACUUGUCAUUUGGUCAUGGUCUGGUCUCUUGCCUGGAUGGCAAAUGGCUGGAUUCCUAAAAAUGUUUCUUCUGCACACACCGAUGAUGGGAGCUGUGCUGAGCUUGGGCAGACAAUCCUCUGCUGAACUUUCCAAGUUCCCACUGGCUUUUUAACUCCCCAUCUUUAUGCUCAGGGCCAUUGGAGCCUGUGCUCAAAGAACAGGCUUGCUGGGCUCUUGAUGUCAGCUCCUCCAAGGCACAUUUCUCUCAGUUGCUGCUUCAUCGCCUGUGACUUAGAACAAUCUCAGGAACAUUCUCAGUAUGAGAAAUGGGCACAAAUUUCUUGAACUGUUAAAGAAAAACACAAAAUAGAAAACAGCAGGAUAAUCAAUAAUCCCUAUGGUUCACCAGGAUCCAUCUGAUAAAGGGAUCCAGUCAACACCCCUUCCCUGCUCUGAUAGUGACAAAGCCCUUGAAAUGGAGCAUUGUCAUGGGAUUAGUUUUCGGCUUGUAAAAGAAAUGCCUUAGCAGCUAGCAGCAUGAUGCCAUCGUCCUGCUGACAGUGCUCUGUGUCACUGAUACUGCCUGACACAGCUUCUGUAUGGCCACGGUUUGUUUUCAUUAAGCUGUUAUCCAAACCGCCCCUUUUUAGGAUGUUUUCCUCUAUUUCUGUACAGGUGCUGGGGCACCUCUUUAUCUGUAUAAGCCAAAGCUGCAUGGAGAGUCUUCAGUUUUAAUCGGGCAUUAAAAAGAAUAAAUUCAGUAACUACUAGCUCUGGACCCUGUGCUGCCCAUAGUGCAACAUGGCUGCUGCCUUGAGAAUGCAAAACACAUCGGUUGUAGUUUGUUUCUAUCACAGUAAUGUAGUUGUAUAUAUGCCACUUUCCCAGGAAUGUAAAUGCUUCGUUAGUUCUGUCCCUGUCCUGAAAAAUCUAAUAUGGCACAAAUAAAGUGCGGUAAAUGGCUUCAUGGAAAGCAGAUGUGAGUGGAAGCCUAAACUCCUACCAAGGCUUUAGGGGACUUCAAAGACUGAAAGAAAGAGCUGAACAAAAUAUUCAACUGUGCCAAAUUUUCACUGUUCUUGAUGAAAGAGCAAAAGUGAGGAGGGGGAAAAAAAAAAAAAAGAAUCUGGCUCCUUGUUUUAAUUUUCUAGUAGCCUACGGCAAGACUUCUUGAAGGAAUAAAUUACAAGCAAGCAGGGAGAGAGACUGAAUGGAGCAACUGACUGCUAGCGCGGAACAAAGGGCAUUCUUGGAAGGAUCUGGCUUUAGAGAACCUAGAAGUUGUCAGCUCAGUUAUCAGGAGGCAGUCCCCCUCCCUGCUGCUUUUGAGCAAUGCCACAGCUCCCCGUGAGCUGACUGCAUGCAAAUCCCAUCCCUGCGCGACAGUCCUGAAUGCUUGGAAAGUGUCCUCUGCUGAAGUGUUUUGUGGGACAGCCAAGGGGAGAAUGCUUUGAAAGCUUGGCACCAGAUGGGAACACGACAUAGAUGAUUGCAAGCUUUAAAGUUGUUUUCCAGAACAAGAUAUUCGGGCUGGACUUGGAAACGGUGUAGAAUAUAGAUGAUGGCAUUCAAGAGGCUAAAAUGCGCCAACUUUUAAGGAGGGAAAAAAAAGUAUAACGCAUUCCUGUUGUUUUGGGUGUCAUGUAGUAUAUGAGGAUGAAAAAAACAUGCACAGAACAAUCAUUCUUUCUUCCUUGGAUUCUGUGUGGGAGCAAAGGUUGUGGCUGAACAAAAGAUGGAAACGGAGGGAAAUAUGAAAGAAAUGGAGCUGCACUGCUUGUGUCCACUUCUUUGUGUUGCAAUCUUGCAAGUCUUGUUUCACCUAAGAUUUCUUCCAUCUCUAAUCCUUUCCAAACUGUCCCUGAAGGUUCUAUUCAUGGUGAAUAUAUGACUGGAGUGGUUCCUCUGGUGCUCAGUGCCCAACAUCUGGAGGAGGCUCAGUGGGUACCAGUGGUCUCCUUGCCCCUGUUCAGGUCCAAACCUUGAUCAUAAAUGCCAGACUGUCCUGGUAUGGGCACACAGUUCUGAGUGGUCCCUGCACUGGGAACCCCUUUACUGUGGAUGUUCCUUAGGCACAGGGCUGCCUUUCACCUUCAAGACCCAGCAUCCCACCUGCAAGCGUCUGAUCAUUUCUUCUGUAGGUCCAAACAUGGGGAAACCCUUUCUGGGAAGGAGAUGCCAUCCAGUGCCAGCCAGUAAUGGAGCAGCGAGACCUCAGUUCCCAAAAUCACAUUUCUGUACUACCUGUGACAAGCACUGUCCUCCCCACUCCUGCUUCCUCAUUCUUCCCUCUCCACCUCCUAAAGGCAGAUAAUUUUCCAUCGGCGUUAACCCCCUCUUAGUUGCACAAUACAAAGCGUAAUUCAUGUAGAUGCUUAUUGUGACUGAACAUGACAAUGAGCUAAUGGUUUGCAGAAACCCUUCUGCAGAUGGACACAGGGUUGUAAAUUAGCUGCAGGACCUCAAGGCAGAUUUACCAAACACAAUUGUGCUGCCGCGGCUGAAAAUAAUUAUGUUUGCUUGAGUUUGGGCCAGGCUGCCUAAAGAUCCCCCGCAGUGCAAUGAGCUGUUGGUGACUUGACCUGUGCUUUUAGGUGCAAUUCUGGAUUUUUUCUAAAUGUCGAUGGCAUUUUUCACAGUGGUUCUGUAGCAACAGACAAGCAACUGUUCCAGGGGAACAGACAAGAAAACAGGGCAGCAGAAAUGAGCAGCGCUAAAGAAGAAGGAAAACCCGGUAGGUGCCAACAGCGUCACUGAUUUCCCACUCAUUUUCCUGCAGUAGCCCAAAUACCAGCCUGUAUUUGUUCGCCGCUGAAGCCUUCGACCUCAGCCUGCCCUUCUCUCCCCCAGAGCUGACAGUAAGUGAAGAAAUGCUGAAUUCAUUCAUCUGCCCGAGAUGCCUUUGAAGUCCACCACUAAAAGCUCUAUUGUUUUAUUAGCUGUUAAUGCGGCACGGGGGAAUUACGCUGCGCGCAGCAGAGCUGGGGUGCGGGGGGAGCCCUUCCUGGUAAUUUGUCACCCUUCAGAUGUAUGACACACUCUGCUCUGCAGACACGCCGGGAAGCUGAGGCUGGAGCUGCUCGGUGUGGAGUUCCACUGCAGCCAGUGGGAUCUCUGGGGCUGAGGAACUGGGACAGCUGAGAGCUCACCUCCACAGCCUCUGUUGGACCCUGUGCUGGCCAAGGCCACAGGAUUAAUGGAUCAUGGGUUCUGGACAAGGCUGGUGCAGGUGUGUGGGUGAUUCUCAGUGGGGAAAUGGGGCUAGAAAUGGAAGAGAUGGCAGCUGGAGCCCAGGAGUAGCUGCAGAUGGUGGGGUCAGGGGUACUUUGCCUCUUCCUACAUUAAGGUGGCUUGCUAAUGAGUGCUUGAAGGCAGUCCAUCUAAAUCCCUCUGCUGCCCUUUCCCUGUUGUGCUGCUUCUGUUAGGGGCUGCACAGUGAGUGCAGCUGUGGUGUGCUGCUGCCUUCUGCAGGCUCCUGAGCACCUUCAGCACUUGUCAUGGGCUAGGGAGAUAAGCUGCAGGCUUCAAGAUGUGCUUCAUUGCCCCUGCUUGUUAGCGCGGCUUCCCAACCAAGUACAAGCAUGUUCUGGGAGUGCAGCUGAGCUGCAAGAGCAGCCAUGCAGAGGUAGAAAACAGCUCCCAGUUCAAGGUCCAGAUCCAGCAAACAAGGUCCUUGCAAAUGCCUGAUGCUGUCACAGCCAGCCGUGUUUCCAGAUGGGUGAAAUUCCAGGGGUCGAUGAUGGAUUUGAUGCAUCUCAGAUGAUGACAGCGGAGGUGCUGACUUCCCCUUUAAUUCCUUCCCUUAACAGACAAGGUCCCUGAACCUGACCCACACUGCCGACAUGUGCAGUGCUUGUUUCUCUUUGCAGCCUGUCUGCUUGGCUUUGCUUCCUCCCCCUGCUCCCAGCUCCCCACUUCUUUCCUGCGGGAAAGAUUAGGAAGGAUAGGAAGUCAUCUGUGCAGAAGGCACCACUGGCCAAAGUAAAUACAGGUCACAAGAUUAGGCUUCAUCAGAACUUUAAGCCUGGCCCAAGCUAAACAAAUGAGCUGUCACGGUCUGGUAAAAGAUCCAGUAUGAGCAAACCGGCAUGACUGCGAAAAUGGUAAAGCAGCUAAUAGGUUUUGCAAUAUGGAAGUUUUAAGUUUUGUUUUUAAUGCUGCAUUCCUGAGAGUCAGGUCUUGCACCGAUCUUCAAAUGCCAGUAAUUCUGUGUGCUGGCCCACUUGCUACCAGGCAAUUACCUCCCAAAGCGCAGCAGAAUGGCUCCUUGAGGCUGCUACCUCCCACAGACCCUUCCAGCAGAGGGAUGAGUGCAAUGGGGAAAAGCACCCAUCUGAGCUCUAGCUCUGGGCUCUUGGCUGUUGUUGCUGUGAACCUGAAGCUCCCCAUGAAUUUCAGGACAAGCAAAGUGAUACCAACAGCCCUUGAGCCAUUCAGACAUCUAACUCUUUAAUGCCUACGUAUCUACAUAAAACCCACCAAUGAUGUGAUGGCAAUGGGCUCCUCAGGGAUUACGUAGUUGUUCACACAAAGAAAAGGUUAUUUAAAUGGGAAAUGUUGCAAUCUCCAUUUGCACUGGUAGAAAUAUUUUCUCUUGCAAUGAGUACAUCCUGUGCACAUAGGCCUCAGGCGUUGCCCUGCAGUGCAGCCCUGGGCAUGUGAACUCCUCCCGGAGCAUUUUUGGCCCUGACUCCUACACGGUAGGGCCACUUGUGGAGGGGAGCUGGUGUAGUAACGUGCACUGAGCUGCAGAAAUCUGCUGCACUGCGCUAUGUUCAGUAUUCUCUGGUCGUAACCGUUGCAAGAAAAAAGGCAACAAGCAUUAAAUGUCUUGAUAGAACAAAAGCCAGGCUUUUAAUUUUGUUUUAAUGUACUUGACAAAGCUUCAGCAUAGAGCCAAACCAAUCUCCUGUAAGUGUGCAAGGGCUGAGACAAUUUAAAAACCCAAAUAUUUAUCCCAAUAGAGACCUUGCAGCUUAUCAGGUAACUGCAGGCUGUGUUUAGGCCAUUUUUAACUGGGCAUUAAAAGUCUUUUUGACACAUGCUUUAUUCCCCUACAAUAGACCCUAACAGCCCCUCCGAGGCUUUCUACAGCCUUAUGUGUAAAAUGUAAUGGGGAUUGGUUUAAAGAGUGGAAUUUGACCCGAGAGAGAGGUGAGUAUUUGGGGACUACUUAGUCCUCAGUAGUACUUGGGGACUCUUUAGUUUGUGGGGCACUUUAUUGCUCAUUAGUGCUUGGGGACGCUGUGUUGUACUCAUUAGCAUGCAGCAUGGGCUGCCUGGUGGCUUUCUCCAUUUAAACAUCUCUGUGGUGUGGGACAGCAUGUAGACCUGCCUCCUCCACCAGGAAGGAGCUGCAGGAGCAGGGGCUGCUUGGAGCAGUCGGGGAAUCCCCAGAGGUGUUGGCAGCAGAAAAGGGCUGCCAAGUCCUGUUGGACACCAACGUGACACCAUGGUGCGUGACAGCCUCUGUGUUUACACAACUGAGUACACACAGACAGGAGAAUGAAGCUGCCUGCAGGGGAACCACUCAUGCCAGGGGAUGGUUAUGUCACUCCAGGUACCAGUGUGGACUGGGAAGUCCUUCCUUCUGCCCUGGCCUUCUGCAGAGGACAGUGCUGGCAGACCAGCUGUGAUUUGCAGUGGCUGGGCAAAGAAACCACAAAAAAUCUCAGAAUCAUAGAAUCAUUAAGGUUGGAAAAGACCACUGAGAUCACCAGGUCCAGCCAACAACCCAUCACCAGCAUUGACCACUGAACCAUGUCCCCAGGUGCCACCUCUGGGCAGCCUGUGCCAAUGCAUCGCCAAUCUGAGACCAAUGUCUCCUGGUGUCCAACCUGAACCUCCCGUGGUGCAGCUUGUGGCCAUCACCUCUCAUCCUGUCACUGUUACCUUGGAGCAGGGGUUGACCCCCACCUCUCCACAACUCCUUUUGGGGCACUGUAGGAAGCGAACAGGGUGGCUCAGGCUGGUGGCAGUUUUACUCACUUUUACUUUUCCCAUUAGCUUAAAUGAUUCCCAGACUUGUGAACUCAGCAAACAGGGAUCGAGUUUUCUCCAGCAGGCAAGGUUUACUCCAGGUCUGGAAUAGUGCCCGAACUUCCCAGCGGUCAGGAAAAAGCUUGUGGGGAACAGAUGAGCGACUCCUUUUGUAUUUUCCACCCAUCGGGAAAAGCUGCAUCUGAGAAAAUAAUAGCUGAACUGGAAAAUAAAAUUAGACAAGUCUGAAAAAAUAUGGAAACCAUCUCUGACCUGGUAUUAGAAAAUAGUCUCAAGUAUUAGAAAGGAGAGAAGCCGAGAGAGGGAAUGGACAAGUUUUGGCCUCUGCUGGGAAUAUGGAAGGAAUUAUUUCAUUCUUUUUCCCCGUCUAUUUGUUCCCUCCAUGGCACUCUGUGCGGCUUGCCCUCUGUCUCUGUCAUAAAUGUGUGGCAGAGACAAGUUUUUCAGAGGUCCCCACGAAGCCAUCUGUUUUGCAUCUGUGGUUAUGCAUAUGUAAAUAUUAUUAUUAAUAGUAGCAGAAGCAAUCAUAAUGACAGCAGGAAUAGAAACACUAUUAAUAGUGCGAGCGCUGACGCUGGUGUUUGUGCUGCUGCUGGCGGCCGUGCUGUGUGCUGGGACGGCUCUGCGUCUGGGGAGGACCAGGAGGAAGAUGCUGCCAUAUGGAGCCAUCAGUGGGCACAGCCACAGCCAUAUCACGAUGGGGCUGUGCUGCCCAAGCACCACGAUUCUCUGCAGACCCUCACCAAGGACCUUCCUGGGGGUAAAUGGCUCCCAACCACCGCCAGCUCCGUGCUGUUCCUGCUCCUAUAAUAAGGGGAGAAGGAUUCACAGUGGAGUGAGCACAUCCCAGUAGUUCUGAAGUACCUGGACACAGCUGGAAGAGCUCCAUGAAAAAGGUAAUUGCAUCAUUCCUGCUUAUUCAGGGGCUGAUUGGGUCCCAUUCAGGUUGGGGCAUAGAACUGGUUUCUUCAUAGCCCAGUGCCGUAAUCUGGGUCUAACUCCCAGCCCAAGGAAUCUCAUCCCUGUGAGGACAGUGGGAUUUUGGGGUGUGCAGCCUGUGCUGGGAGAGGUACAAGCCAAGGAACCACAGCUCAGCACACAGUUCUGCCAGGUUCUUCCUGCAUCGAGGCAGUACCUUUGUUCUAAUGGGAGGAACAUUAUUCUGUUCAGCUCUGGUUGUUUUGCUGGAUCUGUAGUGCAUUACACAGCCCAGCCUCUGGUUUGUAUUUUUUCCAGUUAUCGUGUUUCAUGCAUCCUGGCCUCUUGCAUCCAGCCCUGCAUCCCCCCAAGCAGACAUAACGGGAUGUGGGCCUUGAGCUCACUGCCCUCAGGUGCACAGAGCACUGCAGGAUGCUGCCCCGCAUUCCCUGCUCAGGGACCCCCAUCCCAUUACCACAGCUGGGGCAGGGCUCUGGGGUUGUGCUGCUGCCCCUCAAACUUCACAUCACCAAGUUUCUGAAGUCUGGCUGGAACCCACCAUUUUUGGAAUGGGAACAACCCAUUUUUGGCCGUGGCAGAUCACAGAAGCACAGACAAGUGUAGGUGCAGCUGUCAUUGCUUUUUAGAAGCUCACUCUUUGGCAGAGCACCGUAACUUCUCUCAAACCUCCUGCAGUGUUGUGCUGAGUGCCCCUGUGCCCAUCUGCCUGCAGGUUCUGGGGCAGAUGGAGUCCUCCUCUCUCUUAGAUAUCUUCAUCCACAGGCAUUUAAAACACAAGAAAACCACCUGUGAACUUCAAAAGUGCAUUCCCCCACUGGUUCUACCUGCCCUCCUGCAAUGACAGCAACUUCCCAGGGCACAAAGAAACCUUUGGGUAAAUUCAGGAUUUACUUCUGGUUGUAUUCCCGAUGCCUUCAGCUGCUCAGCAGUGUCAUUCCCCUCACGCUGGCCAAGUCUGAGAGAGGCUUCCACAUGAGCAGGUUGACCCAUGAGGUGCACAGCUCUGAGUCCUCUUCCACAAUCUCACAUGGGUCAGUGGAAUCACCAAUCCUCAGCCACACACUGUUUAUUUGAGCUUUGCUCUGCUCAGCAAAACAGCCCCUGUCCUCAUUGCCCACAUUGCUGUGGGUGCCCCAUUCCUGGGGUGUGCAAGGCCAGGCUGCAUGGGGCCCUGGGCAGCUUGAGCUGGUAAGGUGCAGGCAGCCCACAGCAGGGGGUUGGAGCCCCAUGAUCUUUAAUGUCCCUUCCUACCCAAUCACCCUCUGACUUUGAGGAGCCAGCGGUGCCUGUGGGUGGGCUGGCAGACCAGUUCUAUUCCUCAACAGCUCCUCCAAGGGCAGGGAAGCCCCUUUCCCAUCCAUCCUCACACUGGAUGGGUGCCUGCACCAUUUCAGCACAGCUUGGUGCUCACGCAAUGCGCCCACCUCACAAAAGAGCUCAUGGCACAGGCAUCUGUCACCAAAACCUGUCUGCACGAAGGGCUGUCUGCACCACCAGGGGGAAAGAAAGGCAUGACAGCACAAUUAGUGAGAGCAAAUGAAAGGCCGUUUGAAGAGGAGGAGGGAGGAAAGGGGAGAGCUGCAUAAAUCCCUGGUGGGGUUUUGGGCUUGACAUCAAAACCCCUUAACAGUGUAUUACUUCAGCCCCCAAUGUGGACAGAUGUUGAGCUGUGGCUCAAAGGAAGUCAGAAAUCUUUCCUUAGAAAAAAAUUGGCUAGGAAACUAAAGAAAAUAUUGUGAAAGAAAAGGAAAUAAAAGCUCACUAAAGGAGAUUUAUCACUGCCCCAAGCAUUUCUGUAUCCUCCAGUCUUAUGAGGUCCCGGCCUCAGGGGAGGGAAGAGGAGAAGGCGGGCUGCUGCUGCUCUAAUGGGCCACUCAUUUAGAGCAGGCACAUUUUUGUCCAGUUGGGUGAUGGAGGAGGUUCACCCAGCCCACCCUGAGCUCUCCCAGACCCCAGUAGCCUCUGCAUCAGUCUGCAGCCCUCCUUGGCACAUCCAUCUCACAUGGCCCUGUCCCUCUGGCACUGCCCUGGCUCUCGCUGGGUGUAGGUGACACUAGGGUGGUUGGUGAUGCCCCCCAGGACUCUUCCUGAACUUCAACUACCAUCCUGUGGUCUGCACCAGGUGUUCAAGUUCUGUGUGCUGCCAUAUGUUUGCAUUUGUCUACACUUCAAGAUCCUCAACCACGUUUUUUGCCCACUCAAUUUUGCAAGGUUCUUCUGGUAAAACAUUUCCAAAGGAUUUUGGUAUCACCCACAAACAUGGAGGUGUUGAUGUCCAUUCCUCUUCCAGUGCCACAAAUGAAGAUGUUGAACAAAACCAGAUCCAGAAGAGAUCUUUUGGGAAACUCCAUUGAUGAAAAGGAAGCUCUCAUUUGUCCUCAGAAGAUGCCCAUUAAACCCAGCACUUUGAGCCUGCGGUACAGGAACAGCUCUCAGCAAAGUUUUGAUCCAAAAUUGUGGGGAUCUCCCACACACCCCAGCACUGAGGACCCCCACAAAGUCCCUGAGCUCCUCAUCCUGCCUUGUCCUCCCAGGUUUUCUGCAUUUUCCUUUGCCAUCAAACAAUCUCUCCAUCCUGGUUCUCAGCUUUUUAAAACGUAUUUCCUUCACUGAGAUCCUCAUCCCCUUUUUUAGCUCUUUUAAUUUUCUGUCCACACUUUACUUGCUGUGUUUGAUGGUUUUUCCUGUUCUCCUCAUGUGGGAAACCUUUUCACUUUUUAAAUGCUGACCUUCUCCAUGUGAAACCUCCUUAACCUUCCCAGCGAGGCGGGCAGAGAGUUUUUUAGGACCUCUUAGUUCUCUUUGAGCCGUGGCACAUGUUUUACUUGGGCUUUAAUAGAGUAUUUUUUAAUCGCUGCCAGACUGCUCGCAGGCUCCUUGCUCUCUGUCUGCUCUUUCAAGCUCUGUUGUUGCUAUUGACUUAUCACCUUAUUUUUUCAUAGUUCCUUUUCUUACAAUUGCAGAGCCACUCACUGGAUUUAUUUGCUGUGCUCCGUCCUGCUCCAGCACUAAACCGGCAGUGCUGUGGUCAUCAGCAGGGAGCAGCCCUCCCACAAACACCUUGAGAACAGGUCCUGUGCACAGCCCCUGCACAGACCCAGAGCAGCAGCUUCCAGCACUGUUGGAUCCCGGAGCCUCAUUACUGGAUCCAAAAGUACUUUUCCCAAUGGAUCCCUGAGCAAACCCAUGUGCAGAUAGCUGGAAUCCUCCACUGUUACCACCCGACCUGAAAUUCAACUUCUAUAAUCUCAUAUUUUCUGAUCACUGCACUUAUCCCAGUCAGGGUUAGUAACACAGACCUUGCUCUAUCUAUAUUGUUGGAAGCUGGGAUCUGUAAUCUCAAGAGCUCUGUACUGACAGCUGUUAACUAUUCGAUGGGCAGCUCAUAGAAUCAUAGAAUCAUGGAAUCAUAGAAUCAUGGAAU